rnacentral:lncRNA from 1 species
AGUGAUGAAGAACCUGCUGAUGAAGAAGAUGAUGAUUUUGAAGCAGAUGACGAGGAUCCAGAUUGGCAGGGGGAUGGUGAUUUAGGGGAGGGUAGUGGUGGAAGGGGCCGAUCCCCAGUUAGGAGACAGGCUGACUCCCCUAGUGGUACUUCUGGCAAUGGGGGAAGGGGCAGUAGGGCCAGGGGCAGUAGGACCAGGGGCGGUAGGGCCAGGGGUGGUAGGGCCAGGGGUGGUAGGGCCAGGGGUGGUAGGGCCAGGGGUGGU